rnacentral:rRNA from 1 species
GGGCCCGCACAAGCGGUGGAGUAUGUGGUUUAAUUCGAUGCAACGCGAAGAACCUUACCAGGGUUUGACAUCCUGCGAAUCUCUUGGAAACGAGAGAGUGCCUUCGGGAACGCAGUGACAGGUGGUGCAUGGCUGUCGUCAGCUCGUGUCGUGAGAUGUUGGGUUAAGUCCCGCAACGAGCGCAACCCACGUCGUUAGUUGCCAGCAUUUAGUUGGGCACUCUAGCGAGACCGCCGGUGAUAAACCGGAGGAAGGUGUGGAUGACGUCAAGUCAUCAUGCCCCUUACAUCCUGGGCUACACACGUACUACAAUGCUACGGACAAAGGGCAGCAAACUCGCUACAAUGGCU